rnacentral:sRNA from 1 species
AUUCUAAUAACUAGGGUGCCUGCGAGGUUAUCCCAUUGCUUCUCGACUCUACCUACUUUGGUUUGGCCGCCGAUCAGUUGAGGAGAGAGCAGCUCUGGCGUUACGCAUAGCUGGCUGUUAGCUUAGAUUCCUUACGAUGUUACUACUAACAGUUUUUGUAACCAUAACCCGAGUAAAAUCGGGUUUUUAUUU